rnacentral:rRNA from 2 species
AGGGAAUAUUGCGCAAUGGAGGGAACUCUGACGCAGCGACGCCGCGUGAGCGAUGAAGGUCUUCGGAUCGUAAAGCUCUGUCCUUGGGGAAGAAGGGAGCCGUAAGGCUUCUUGACGGUACCCAUGGAGGAAGCCCCGGCUAACUACGUGCCAGCAGCCGCGGUAAUACGUAGGGGGCAAGCGUUGUCCGGAAUUAUUGGGCGUAAAGGGUGCGUAGGCGGCCCUUUAAGUCAGAUGUGAAAGCCCACGGCUUAACCGUGGGACUGCAUUUGAAACUGGAGGGCUUGAGUGUCGGAGAGGGCAGUGGAAUUCCCAGUGUAGCGGUGGAAUGCGUAGAUAUUGGGAGGAACACCAGUGGCGAAGGCGACUGCCUGGACGAUAACUGACGCUGAGGCACGAAAGCUAGGGGAGCAAACA